rnacentral:tRNA from 1 species
GCUAGCUCAGCUGGCAGAGCAACGGACUCUUAAUCCGUGGGUCCAGGGUUCGAUCCCCUGGC